AGAAAUGUAGGUUAGGAACACAGAGAGCACUCCUCAAGGACACCUGCCUCUUCAAAGAGGGUCAAGGAAAGGGAGAACUGAAGGGGAGUGUCUGUGUACUUACCCUUAUUUGUCUGUAUACAAGGAAGAACAAACAUGGUACUAUAACAGUGACACUGCUACAGGAUCCUUGUGGGACUUCCUUCUCUGACACUGAGUAGUCAAAAGCCGUGGUCAAUCCAAUUCAGCAGUGCUUGUGAGAGAUUGCAGUGUGUGGGUAGGUGAUCCUGAGAUAUCAGUAACAGCUUCAUGGGAUCCUAUUUUACCAGAGUAUCUGAAAAUUUGCCGUAAUUUUCUAUGCCCCCUUUUGUUAUUUUUUAGGGUGGUAAGUAGCAAUUAUACCCCCCCCCCAAUAUUCUCUUCUGUAAAAGGACAUAGACACAUAUAUUUAAAACCUCUGCAUUCUUAAACUGUUAAAAAAUAGACAGUCUCUGUAUUCCAGGGACACUUACAUUUCUCAAUUUGUUUUACAUAUACUCUGAUUGGCUGUUCGACAUAGGAGCAAAGGAGUAUCAGCAAGUGUGUCAAAAUAUUUGAUUGCUUAAUGGGUGAGGGAUUUUAGGGUUAGGCAAAUGUCAGUAUCUGGGAGAUUGAAAGCUGUAAUUGUGCAUUCAAAAACAUAAUUUACACAUGCAAAUAGGUAUCUGCUUAAUGCAAAUUAAGUGCUAAAGGGACAAAAACACCUGGCACCUAAGUUUCAUGUUGAAAAUCCCACUAGAUGUCUCUUGUAUUUCUGAAUCUUUAGGAACCUAAAUACUUCUAACAAUUUGGCCCCAAGUGGUUGCAGUCUGCAUAUGCAAAAAGCAGUUUUAAUGUUAUAAAUAUGACCAUAAUGCAAAAAAGAUCUAUCAUGGACACAUGUGCAGGGCACUGACUAAGUAGACCUCGUACUAUUCCUGGUUCUGCCCAUAACUCUAAUGGGACCUUAAGCACUCUACCUUUCUUUCCCCCUCUUCCCCCCACUCAUCCCUUGUGUAUUUAGAGAUUAAGUUUUUAGGGAAGGACCAUCAUCUCUUACGAUCUUUUUGUACAAACCCUAAUGCUCUGAUCUUUGCAGAGGUUUCUAAGUGCUUCUAGACACGAUCAUUCAUAAUUAAAACAAUAAUUUCUAUACCUUGGGGAACAGCUAGAAUACAACAUACCUGGAUAUUUCAGCUCUGUGGCAGAGCAUGAUUAUUUUAAGACUUAACAAUAGAUUUUUAUCUAACCAAAGAACCUUUCAGAAAAAGAUUUGGAAGAAAGAUAUUUCUGUAUUUUGUUUUCCUUAAGAUGCUUUGUGGAAAACAACAAAUACGUGGUUAGGUCUUAUUCUGGUUCUUUUGUCCUAAAGUCUAUGAAAGUCUGUUAGGGAAAGAAAAAAAAACAGGGUAAAAGGGUUCCAAUAGUUUGCUCUUCAAAUAAUUCUAACUCGUUAUUCUAAAAUUCUGACAAUGGUAGGGCAGGAUUUGAAUCUGGAGAUAUUGAGACACUCAUUGUAAGAAAUAGGAAGUUGAAAAUAAAGAAACAAAAAACUUAUUUUGCA
rnacentral:lncRNA from 1 species